UCGCAAGGCUAACUUUACUUUCUUUUUAAAGUUUUUUCUUUCUUUAUGUACUUUAAAGGCAACCAUGGAUUUGUAAAAACUCUCGUAUAGAAAGUAAUGCCUAAGUAUAUCUAACAAAUAAUUUGAUUAAAGAAGAACUUUUGGGGGUAAAGUUUGAAUUGGUUGGGAUGAACUCAGGACUUCGGGGAUUUACUUUAGCCAUUUAGAUAACUCCAUUCCUUGCUUAUAUGUCUAUAAUUAAGUAUUUCAGAGUGUGACUUUUGGCUUUGUUUUGUUUUGGGUUUGUUUGUUUCUUCCAUUGUGCUACUCUGGCUUAAGCUUUUUCAGGGGUUGGUGUUCGGAAUACACAGUGAGCUCACAGUAUAAAGACAUCAAUUAGGAGUUGACAGGUAUGGAAAACUAGAGUUUUGAAAAGGUAAAAUUAGGCUCUAGGUUAUAUAUAUGGUAAAAACUCACCAUAGUGUUGAGUUGAUCUUAGUGCUUCUCUUUCUGUGACAUCAUUAUGAAAGUGAAAAGGAAUGAUGAGACAAAGAUAAUAGAAAGCAUUUCAGUUAUUUUAGGAACAGUGUGAUCUCAGGAACUAAUCAUUUUAGUAUUUCUAAGACACUAGUUCUAACAAAGAGGUAGAUAUGAACAGUUUCAGGUUAUCAUAAUGGUUCAAAUUUUUAAAAAUUACAGGUUCAAACAGAUUGGAGGGCAUUUCUGAAGCACAAAUCAUUAAGUGCAUUAACCAAGGCUAUAAAAUAUAAAACAAAGUUAGUGGCAGGAAUAGCAAUACAACUUGUCCAUUUUAAUACAGCCUUUCUGUUACUUAAUGUAGUAUACCUUUCUCUGUCUACACCAGUCCCUUGCCCUUUCCUCUUUUCUCCUCCUGUGUUUCCCGAAGUUUUAGUUCUAAUAUGAGUUGUUGCCAUUGGGAAGAUAAUCUUUUUUUUUUUCUUUCCUGUUAGGUAGAACUUUAGUGACAGUGAUCAGGACCUUUUCAGGAUAGACUUCUGCACAAUUUUAUUCUGUGACUUUAGAUAUCCUAUCUGAAGAGGUUUUAAGUUCACUAGUUAGCUAAUAGGAUAUCAUGGCUUGUUAUGCAUUUUACAGCUGAAGGCAUAAAAUGAAUCAUUAACCUGUUUUUUGCUUCAAUUCACUCAUAUAAGAUAGGGCCAUCUCUCCCCUAAAUAUCCUAAGACAAAAAUAUGUAUGGGUUGAAGUAAAAUUUACUAACAGAGGAAUCCCAACUACCUCCUGGAGGAAUUUAUGAUAUAUACUAAAAAGGGCUUGUACCAGAGAACCUUGUUCUCUUACUAAGAAUGGCAAGCAUUAGAAUGUGUGGACUAUGGUGAUUGUGUGGGACUUGGAGAAUUUAACAGUCUCCAUUCAGCUUCCCAUGAAAGUCACGGACUUGUUAAGAACGGUCUUGCUUUCAGAUUUCAUCAUAUUCAAACUUAUUAGCUGGGCCUUAUAUAGUGUAUAUACCUGGCUGCUACUGUGGGGUUUGGGAACAUGAGGGGUGGGGUGAAUUGUUGUUGUUUUAGGUUUCAGUCAGACAGACAUCACUGUGCCCCAGUUCCCAGAAGCACAGCAGGCCUCUAGGAGCAUCCGUGGGAACGGCGCAGUCCUGACAUCACCAACUCUCCUGCUCAGGCUCAUCCCAUAUACAGAGGUCAAAGGGUGGGGUUUGAGAUCGGGGGAAGGAAUGAGAAAGUAGAAACAAUGUAACUGCAGUGCCACUGUUGACUAGCCUUUGGUGCUUAUGUCAGUGUUUGUUUUAUUUUUUAUGUUGGCAGAACUAUUUUGGGGUAAAGGUAGUAGGGGGGUGGAACAAAAACAAGCCAUUAUUAUUAUUCAUUAGUGGAUACUGUUCUUUAAUAGCUAAUAAAGAAUAACCUUGAAACCUAAACCUUCAGUGACAAAGGGAAUGGGAAUAGAAAUUAAUCUCAGGACUUGAACAAACAGAAAACAUUUUAUGUUGUGUUAGUUUCCAGUUCUACAAUUGCUAUUACAUUUGUCCCUCUGUCUCCCUUUUUCACCCUGAUUUUUUUUGUGUAUAUAUACAGUUUGAGGAAAUGUGUAUUUGUGAUCAGUCCUUUUAAAAGGACUCAGUGACUUAAUCUUGCAAAAGAUAUACCCAAUGCUUAUAUGGGCAUACAAAUGCUACCCUAUUUUAAAUAUAGGUGGCGUAUGUGUUCGUGUUUUAAUGUAUUCAGAGCCAUUGAGCAAUAAGCAGUCCAGAACAUUGAAAACUCAUGCAGCAGAGAGAUAAACUGGUAGGUGGCAGCAGAAGAAGGAAUUCUUCAGAUUGACGGCUACUGAAAGAAUCUACAUAGAAGAGAUAGAGCAUAACAUACCAGUAAAGGAAAGGGGGCAAAAAAUGGAAGCAGGACUAAAAUGUUUGGAUUUUGACUCUAAAUGGUUCUUUUGAAGUAACCAGUGAUCCUUUUUGCUUAUUACUUCAUUCACAGAAUGGACGAAGAUAGAUUUGACUGUGUUUUUUGAAAUGGAGUAUAGAAAUACCCAGAACAAGAAAGCUGUAGCGCUAACCUGUUUGAUCGAUGUGUUUUCUAAAAUAAAAACACCAGAACUGGGAA